rnacentral:rRNA from 1 species
CCUACGGGAGGCUGCAGUGAGGAAUAUUGGUCAAUGGACGCAAGUCUGAACCAGCCAUGCCGCGUGCAGGAAGACGGCUCUAUGAGUUGUAAACUGCUUUUGUACGAGGGUAAACUCAGAUACGUGUAUCUGUCUGAAAGUACCGUACGAAUAAGGAUCGGCUAACUCCGUGCCAGCAGCCGCGGUAAUACGGAGGAUCCAAGCGUUAUCCGGCUUUAUUGGGUUUAAAGGGUGCGUAGGCGGUUGGAUAAGUUAGAGGUGAAAUUCCGAGGCUCAACUUCGGAAUUGCAUCUGAUACUGGUAGGCUAGAGAGUAGUUGCGGUAGGCGGAAUGUAUGGUGUAGCGGUGAAAUGCUUAGAGAUCAUACAGAACACCGAUUGCGAAGGCAGCUUACCAAGCUACAUCUGACGUUGAGGCACGAAAGCGUGGGGAGCAAACAGGAUUAGAUACCCUAGUAGUC